GGGUGCGAUCAUACUAGCAUUAAUGCAUCAGAUCCCAUCAGAACUCCGCAGUUAAGCGCACUUGGGCUAGAGUAGUACUGUGAUGGGUGAACUCCUGGGAAGUCCUAGUGUUGCGCCCU
rnacentral:rRNA from 1 species